UUACGACCAUAUCACAUUGAAACACUGGUUCUUGUAUGAUCACCGAAGUUAAGCAACAUUGUUCCUGGUCAAUACCUAUAUGGGUGACCACUUGGAAUUACCAGGUGCUAUA